UCCAUUCAAAGCCAAGUUUACAUCGAAAUUGUAACCCAAAAAUUUACAUUGAUCUUAUCAAAAGUAUCCCAAAUUACAUUGAAAUUUUACAAUAUAAAAUCAACGUCCUCUUCUGGGAGCAUAUCCUUUUCCCAGUGGUUGGUAUAGUGGGACCCACUCUCUCAUCAUUCAAGAGGCCGUGCGGAUCGUCCUCUUGGAGUUCUUGCAUGGUGCAUUUGCAGAUGUGGCUCAGCAGUUGAGACAUGCUUUUGUUUAGAGUUAUCACUGAACUCUUAUUCUUCCUCAACAAACUCGCCUUUAGACAACAUCAACUUUCGCCUGAUCUCCCUAAAAUAUCGAUCUUUCGUCUGCGAGCCCAUUGUCAACAAUUCCAAUCAAAUGGUCUACUUUGGUCAACGGAAACACCACAAUUACCCAUAACUAGCCAACAUACAUACAAUAAUUACAUAUACAUAAAAUAUAGUUGAAAAAAAUGUAUGAAACCUACAAAUUAAUGACUUUGAGACAUAUCAAGAAUAAUUAGCAAAACAAAAUGAGUUUACCUGAAGUAAUGUCGCACACCCAGAGAGGGGAGAAUCGGGUGCCGACUAACCAUCACGCAACAAAUCUUGCCUUCCCUUUUUAUUUUAAUAGUUACGAACUUCUUGAGGGGCCUAAAAAGAUAGGCAAGGGUUGCGGCCCCUCAUAAGUAUUGGCCCGCAAUAUCAAAAUCCUUAAUUAAGGUCAAAUACCUAAUAGAGACCUCAUUACCUUUCGAAGGGGAAAAAAUGGUGCUGCCUACUAAAUAUACCCCUAGUGUAUAGUUCUAUUUGUACUCAUGUGGGAUUUUCUGGUAGAUUCCCAAAAGUUUCUCUCAAUCAAGUGAAGUUUGAUGAAUAACGAAGUUUAAAAUCGUUUGGCAGAAGGUCUCCCAACCAUCGUAACAGCUAUAUCCUAUAUGGUUUGCAUCUCCCUAUUAAUACCGGCUCACCUAUGACUCUGAUCCAUAAAUUAUGCCAUACAUCAUAUAAGGUUGGCAUCAUCUCAUCAACACAUCACAGACAGUGCAAUGACUUCGUCUCUGGGUGCCAUCUCUAUGUCACUGCCUCCAUAAGAGGAUGGUCAAUUUGUCGCGGUGCCCCUCCAUGUUAGCAUACUGAACAAGAGGCCAUAGCCCCAUCCUUCAAACUUUAAUCUUCUUGCUCAGCUGUAAGGGGCCAAUGUCUAAUGAUACUAAAACCCUCAUCAAUAUAAAUCUUCUUUCUCUCCAGGCCGAUUGUAGCUAAUGUCCAAGCAUGAUCAUCUUUCAUGUACAAGAAGUCAUCUUCAUGUGCCAAUAAACUUUGAAAUGCAUGUCAUGAUGUGUUGGUAACAAGCAUGCUAAAAUAAAUGACAUACACGCUUAUGUGCACCAAUUUCACCUUAACUCAAAAUCAUCACAAUAUAUAAAUAGAAACAAAAAUUCAAAGUACAAAUAACCAGUCAUGAAACUCAAUUAUUCAACAUAUGGUUAUUUUCAAUAUAUAGUUAUUUUGGCGAUCAAAGAAGGGGUGCAAUGAUGAAGGCGGAGAAAAUUAUAAAGCACGAUUCAUAGUAAAGGGAUAUGGUCUAAAAGAAGGCACGUAUUUCAAUAAGAUCUAAAUAGUAAAAAAGAAUAGUUCUAUUCAGUUUGUUAUUACUACAAUUGAAAUCAGGAUGACAAAAUACAUGCAACAUCUUGAAGGCUAUAUGGAGAAAGAAAAGGUCUGUAAAAUGGUAGUCAAUAUAUAUAAACGGUAUGCUAAAGAAUUUAAAAUGAAAAACUUAUGGCAUGCAACCCACAAAAAAAAUGGAACUUUGUAAAGAUAAAAAGAAUGAGUAGUUGUGGAUAUCAUAGCAAAAAAAGCAUAUUAAGAAGGUAGAUAUUAACCAGUAACCACUCACCACUUAAACACAUAUAUGCACAUAUACGAUACAUAGAGAUGGAGAUUGCAUCUUCACACACUCAUAACAAACAUCGGGCUUUUAAACAACAAAUUGAACAUAAAAAUGAUAUGACAAAGGAACAACCACAUGAUGUAUACAUGAGUUUCUUUACUUUUCUUUUUUUCUUGUGGAAAUAUGAUUUAUUCAUUAUCAUUUACUAGAAUUUGAGCCAGAUAUCACUCUGACAAAUCGCAGUUCAGCUCUUAGAAAACUUGUAAAAAGGGAAGUACACUUUUUUUUUUUUUUGGUGAAAAGAUUAACUUAUAUUGAAAGAGAACAAAAUGUAAAUACACAAAAAGAAUGAGAAAAGAUGGCAAUCCACAAGUUGUGGUGCACAGAGAUACCACAUGGAAAAUGAACAAGCUCAAAAAAAGAAAAAAAAAGAAAAAAAAAGAAAAAAAAAGAAAAGAAAGCGUAUACUAUAAUCAUCAUACAUGGAAAUCUAAAUAAACAAGCUCGAAAAAAAAAAAGGAAGAGAAAAACAUUCAAACUCAAGAUGGAUGCGAAAUAAGUACAUGAGAACAUGUGAAUCGGCUUUAUAGAUACAUAAAUAUCCCAUGGUAAAUUAACAAAAAAAAAAGAUUGGGUGUUUAGAAAAAAUAAAAAUGAACAUUCAAUACACGUUUUGGGGUUAUUUUAUCCCCAAAAUCCUAAUCACGCAAAUCUCAUUUUCAAUCACAAUCAAAUAGAAAUACGAACAUUUAUAAGAGAACCAAAAACUCUACUAAUAAAUUUCAUGUAUUUUGGGGCUAUUUUAUCCCCAAAACCCUAAUCCCCCAAAUUUAAUUUUCUAUAAAUUUUUUUUUUUAUGAGAUAUACCUGAUUUGAUUGUGGUUGAGCAGGUUGGGCUUCGGCUUGACCAAAGAUUGAGUGAGAAAAGUGCCGGCUUGGGCUUGGGCUUGGGCUUGGGCUUGGGCUUAGGCUAAGCAAAGAGAGUGCGAGAGAGAAGAACCUACUGAGCAGAGCUGUCCGAUAGAGCAGCAAAAUGGGGUUCUUUUUGCUUAAAAGGAGCCCAUGACUUAUACGGUAUUUUGAACACCGG
rnacentral:lncRNA from 1 species